UACGGAAGGUCCGGGCGUUAUCCGGAUUUAUUGGGUUUAAAGGGAGCGCAGGCGGGGUGUUAAGCGUGACGUGAAAUGCCGGGGCUCAACCUUGGCACCGCGUCGCGGACUGGCGCCCUUGGGUGCGCUGGAGGCAGGCGGAAUUCGUGGUGUAGCGGUGAAAUGCUUAGAUAUCACGAGGAACCCCGAUUGCGAAGGCAGCCUGCCGCGGCGUUACCGACGCUCAUGCUCGAAGGCGCGGGUAU
rnacentral:rRNA from 1 species